CAGGCCUAACACAUGCAAGUCGAACGGUAGUAUUAUCUUCGGAUAAUAUGAGAGUGGCGAACGGGUGAGUAACACGUAAGAAUCUACCUUUAGGACGGGGAUAACUUCUGGAAACGGAUGCUAAUACCCGAUAUGCUGUGGAGUGAAAUGAAUUUCGCCUAAAGAUGAUCUUGCGUCUGAUUAGCUAGAUAGGGUGGUAAUGGCGCCCUAUGGCGACGAUCAGUAGCUGGUCUGAGAGGAUGGACAGCCACAUUGGACUGAGACACGGCCCAAACUCCUACGGGAGGCAGCGGUGGGGAAUUUUCCGCAAUGGGCGAAAGCCUGACGGAGCGACGCUGCGUGAAGGAUGACGGCCUGAGGGUUGUAAACUUCUUUUCUCGAAGAAGAAUCAAUGACGGUAUUCGAGGAAUAAGCAUCGGCUAACUCUGUGCCAGCAGCCGCGGUAAGACAGAGGAUGCAAGUGUUAUUCGGAUUGAUUGGGCGUAAAGCGUCUGUAGGCGGUUUAGAAAGUCUUUUGUGAAAUACUUCAGCUCAACUGGGGCUCCGCAAAAGAAACUUCUAGACUUGAGGGAAGUAGAGGUACAGGGAAUUUCCGGUGGAGCGGUGAAAUGCGUAGAUAUCGGAAGGAACACCAAUAUGGCGAAGGCAC
rnacentral:rRNA from 1 species